rnacentral:rRNA from 1 species
UUGCAUAAUGGGCGAAAGCCUGAUGCAGCAACGCCGCGUGUGCGAUGAAGGCCUUCGGGUCGUAAAGCACUUUUAGAGAGGAUGAGGAAGGACAGUACUCUCUGAAUAAGCCUCGGCUAACUACGUGCCAGCAGCCGCGGUAAAACGUAGGAGGCGAGCGUUAUCCUUAUUUACUGGGCGUAAAGCGCGUGCAUGCGGUAAGGAAAGUUGGAUGUGAAAGCUCCCGGCUUAACUGGGAGAGGUCGUUCAAAACUACCUAACUAGAGUAUGGGAGAGGGAAGUGGAAUUCCGGGUGUAGUGGUGAAAUGCGUAGAUAUCCGGAGGAACACCAGUGGCGAAAGCGGCUUCCUGGUCCAAGACUGACGCUCAGACGCGAAAGCUAGGGUAGCAAACG